GUGGGGAAUUUUGGACAAUGGGCGCAAGCCUGAUCCAGCAAUGCCGCGUGCAGGAAGAAGGCGCUACGCGUUGUAAACUGCUUUUAACCGGGAAGAAACCCCAGGACGUGUCCUGGGUUGACGGUACCGGAGGAAUAAGCACCGGCUAACUUCGUGCCAGCAGCCGCGGUAAUACGUAGGGUGCAAGCGUUAAUCGGAAUUACUGGGCGUAAAGCGUGCGCAGGCGGUUUUGUAAGACAGGCGUGAAAUCCCCGGGCUCAACCUGGGAAUUGCGCUUGUGACUGCAAGGCUGGAGUGCGGCAGAGGGGGAUGGAAUUCCGCGUGUAGCAGUGAAAUGCGUAGAUAUGCGGAGGAACACCGAUGGCGAAGGCAAUCCCCUGGGCCUGCACUGACGCUCAUGCACGAAAGCGUGGGGAGCAAACAGGAUUAGAUACCCUUGUAGUCC
rnacentral:rRNA from 1 species